CGGGUUGUGGCGCAGCUUGGCAGCGCGCUCGCUUCGGGAGCGAGAGGACGCGGGUUCGAAUCCCGCCGGUCUCG
rnacentral:tRNA from 1 species